UUUCUCUAGCUUGGCGCGCUCUCUGUCUUCUUCUCCCAUAGUUCCGUUUUCUGACUACUCACUUUCACAGUUUGUGUCUGUGCGAUAAUGGCCAUGACAGAGCUUUCAACCCCCAAAACGACGUCUUCUUUUCUCAACUCUUCGUCUCGGCUAAGCCUCUCCUCAAAACUGCAUCUUUCAAACCAGUUUCGUCAUCUUCUUCUUCUCCCACCGCUCCACACAACUUCCAACUCCAAAAUCUCUUGCUCUGUUUCUCAGAAUAACCAAGCACCUGUUGCGGUUCAAGACAAUGGAUCGGUGAAGACGAAGAAAGAGUGUUAUGGAGUGUUCUGUCUCACCUAUGACCUUAAAGCUGAAGAGGAGACGAAGUCAUGGAAGAAGAUGAUCAAUAUUGCAGUUUCAGGUGCUGCAGGCAUGAUCUCAAACCACCUUCUCUUCAAACUUGCUUCAGGUUCAGUGUUUGGACCAGACCAACCCAUUGCUUUGAAACUUCUUGGAUCAGAGAGAUCAAUCCAAGCCCUCGAAGGGGUUGCGAUGGAGCUCGAGGAUUCCUUGUUCCCCUUGUUGAGAGAAGUUGAUAUAGGAACUGAUCCAUAUGAAGUGUUCCAAGAUGUGGAGUGGGCUCUUCUCAUUGGCGCAAAACCUCGAGGCCCUGGAAUGGAACGUGCCGCCUUGUUGGACAUUAAUGGCCAGAUCUUUGCUGAGCAAGGCAAAGCUCUUAAUGCUGUUGCCUCUCCUAAUGUUAAGGUCCUUGUAGUGGGGAAUCCUUGCAACACCAACGCCUUGAUUUGUCUUAAAAAUGCUCCCAACAUUCCUGCAAAGAACUUCCAUGCCCUCACGAGGUUGGAUGAGAAUCGAGCCAAGUGUCAGCUUGCUCUUAAAGCAGGCGUUUUCUACGACAAAGUGUCUAAUAUGACCAUAUGGGGAAAUCACUCCACGACUCAGGUGCCAGACUUCUUAAAUGCAAGAAUUAAUGGCCAGCCGGUGAAGGAGGUUAUUACAGACCACAAGUGGUUAGAAGAGGGAUUCACCGAGAGUGUGCAGAAGAGAGGUGGCUUACUAAUUCAGAAAUGGGGUCGGUCUUCGGCUGCUUCUACUGCUGUUUCCAUUGUUGAUGCUAUAAAGUCUCUUGUGACUCCUACUCCUGAGGGUGAUUGGUUUUCAACUGGGGUGUACACAAAUGGAAAUCCUUAUGGUAUUGCAGAGGACCUUGUCUUCAGCAUGCCAUGCCGAUCAACGGUAUGGAGAUGGAGAUUAUGAGCUUGUCAAGGAUGUAGAGUUUGAUGACUAUCUUCGCAACCGAAUCGCCAAGUCUGAAGCGGAACUGUUGGCUGAGAAGAAAUGUGUUGCACACCUCACUGGAGAUGGCAUUGCCUUCUGUGAUCUUGGUCCGGUAGAUACCAUGCUUCCUGGUGAAGUUUGAUUUUUGGAGGGCGGUGAGCUUCUCAAGUAAGCACUCUCUUCUGGGUUGUUAGCUGUACAGAGCACACCCACACCCACACUACUCAUGUUGAUUGUUCUAAAUAAGUUAAAGAAACUCUUCUUAUUUAUAUAAUGCACCAAAAGUCAUCUACAGUAGUGUUUGUAAACUAGAUAAUGCCAUAUCUAAUGUCAAACACAAACUGUUCCUAAAUCUUUUGAUUUUUAUU